rnacentral:rRNA from 1 species
UACGUAGGCAGCAAGCGUUGUUCGGAGUUACUGGGCGUAAAGGGUGUGUAGGCGGUCUUCUAAGUUUGGUGUGAAAUCUCGGGGCUCAACCCCGAAACUGCACUUGAUACUGCUUCGCUCGAGUACUGGAGAGGAGACUGGAAUUUACGGUGUAGCAGUGAAAUGCGUAGAUAUCGUAAGGAAGACCAGUGGCGAAGGCGAGUCUCUGGACAGUUACUGACGCUGAGGCACGAAGGCCAGGGGAGCAAACGGG